GAUGAACGCUGGUGGCGUGCCUAAUACAUGCAAGUCGAGCGAAUGGAUUAAGAGCUUGCUCUUAUGAAGUUAGCGGCGGACGGGUGAGUAACACGUGGGUAACCUGCCCAUAAGACUGGGAUAACUCCGGGAAACCGGGGCUAAUACCGGAUAACAUUUUGAACCGCAUGGUUCGAAAUUGAAAGGCGGCUUCGGCUUUCACUUAUGGAUGGACCCGUGUCGCAUUAGCUAGUUGGUGAGGUAACGGCUCACCAAGGCAACGAUGCGUAGCCGACCUGAGAGGGUGAUCGGCCACACUGGGACUGAGACACGGCCCAGACUCCUACGGGAGGCAGCAGUAGGGAAUCUUCCGCAAUGGACGAAAGUCUGACGGAGCAACGCCGCGUGAGUGAUGAAGGCUUUCGGGUCGUAAAACUCUGUUGUUAGGGAAGAACAAGUGCUAGUUGAAUAAGCUGGCACCUUGACGGUACCUAACCAGAAAGCCACGGCUAACUACGUGCCAGCCGCCGCGGUAA
rnacentral:rRNA from 1 species